GGAAUAUUGGACAAUGGGCGAAAGCCUGAUCCAGCCAGGCCGCGUGUGUGAAGAAGGUCUUCGGAUUGUAAAGCACUUUAAGUUGGGAGGAAGGGUUGUAACUGAAUACGUUGCUACUUUGACGUUACCGACAGAAUAACCACAGCCUAACUUCGUGCCAGCAGCCGCGGUAAUACGAAGGGUGCAAGCGUUAAUCGGAAUGACUGGGCGUAAAGCGCGCGUAGGUGGUUCAGUAAGUUGGAAGUGAAAUCCCCGGGCUCAACCUGGGAACUGCUUUCAAAACUGCUGAGCUAGAGUACGGUAGAGGGUGGUGGAAUUUCCUGUGUAGCGGUGAAAUGCGUAGAUAUAGGAAGGAACACCAGUGGCGAAGGCGACCACCUGGACUGAUACUGACACUGAGGUGCGAAAGCGUGGGGAGCAAAC
rnacentral:rRNA from 1 species